GUCCUGUUAGCUCAGUAGGUAGAGCAUUUCCCUUUUAAGGAAGUGGCCGUUGGUUCGAAUCCAACACAGGACACCA
rnacentral:tRNA from 1 species